rnacentral:rRNA from 1 species
AAUGAACGCUGGCGGCAGGCCUAACCCAUGCAAGUCGAACGAGUGGCGGACGGGUGAGUAAUGUAUGGGAAACUGCCCGCUGGAGGGGGAUAACUACUGGAAACGGUAGCUAAUACCGCAUACCAUCGGAUGUGCCCAGAUGGGAUGAGCUAGUAGGUGGGGUAACGGCUCACCUAGGCGACGAUCCCUAGCUGGUCUGAGAGGAUGAACAGCCACACUGGAACGGAGACACGGUCCAGACGCCUACGGGAGGCAGCAGUGGGGAAUAUGGCACAAUGGGCGCAAGCCUGAUGCAGCCAUGCCGCGUGUAUGAAGAAGGCCUUCGGGUUGUAAAGUACUGUCAGCGAGGAGGCGUUACUCGCAGAAGAAGCACCGGCUAACUCCGUGCCAGCAGCCGCGGUAAUAC